GCUUACCAUGCAGUCGAGCGGAAGGCCCUUCGGGGUACUCGAGCGGCGAACGGGUGAGUAACACGUGAGCAACCUGCCCUCAGCUCUGGGAUAGCUCCGGGAAACCGGAAUUAAUACCGGAUAUGACCACGAUCGACAUCGGCCGUGGUGGAAAGGAUUCCGGCUGAGGAUGGGCUCGCGGCCUAUCAGCUAGUUGGCGGGGUAACGGCCCACCAAGGCUACGACGGGUAGCCGGCCUGAGAGGGCGACCGGCCACACUGGGACUGAGACACGGCCCAGACUCCUACGGGAGGCAGCAGUGGG
rnacentral:rRNA from 1 species